ensembl:lncRNA
GAUGAGUGUUUUAAAUGUGAGUGUGUUUUUUUUCCUUCCUACCAAGUUCUGACUAAAAAACCCUGCAAAGGCUGAACUAGACAGAAAAGAUAUUGAAUUGAAUGAAUAUGAAUACAGACUGCCUAACUGCUAGAGGACUCACAUUUGUGAACCAGUGAAGGUCUGACACACAGCCCUAGUCCUAAAGUCCUUGUUGCAAUGCAGGUGAAGCAGGAGGCCCCGGAGCUGCUACAGGAGGAAGAGGAGGUGAUCUGCAUCAAGGAGGAGCCAAAGGAAGAUCAGGAAGUGACGGCCUCCCUUCUGCCGGACUGCCACGUGCAGCAGGGUCCUUUUCCAGUGUCAGAGGCUCAGCGGUCAGCGACGGAGUGUUUGGGACCUCCAGUGAGCCAGAGAAGUGACACCGCAGCCUUCGGCUCAGCCGGACCCAACCCCCAUCUGAUGCCUCAGCCGGUGGCCUCCCUGCUGCAGCCGAUGGUGGCUCUGCCAUGCGGCGUCCUGCCUCGCCAGGCGCCGCGGCCCUGGCCUAAAGAUCUCAGUCUUUAUGAAGAAUACAAACUGCGCCGCAAUGAGCUCCGCAGGCGAAGCAUCAACAGACGCAGAGAGCUGGAGAAGACGCUGCCUCAGCCACUACUGGCUGACCUGGUGCGAGAGCGUCGUGAGAAGACCAGACUGCGGGUGGCCAGAUGGAGGGCGAAGAGGAAACUCCAGGACUGCAUCAAGCAGGACCACUCUCUAGGUGGCGCUGCAGGUCUUUCUCCAGCGGGCUUUGCUCUCGGCAGCCAGCAUCAGCAGCCCAGAGGGACCUGCGCCUCCGGCAGCCAGCAGAGACUCUCCUCAGCUCCGCCUCCGUCCGACGGCUUCCUCUCAGACCCUCUGCCCUUCAUCCCCACCUCCUCCUCCUCCUCCUCCUCGUUUCUCUAUCUGGGAGGCCACAACAUGGCUCCGCACCAGCACACUGUGACAUCGUCAGCCUGUUGCAGCAGAUCGCCUCGUUGA